rnacentral:rRNA from 1 species
AUUGAACGCUGGCGGCAUGCUUUACACAUGCAAGUCGAGCGGCAGCGCGGGGGCAACCCUGGCGGCGAGCGGCGAACGGGUGAGUAAUGCAUCGGAACGUAUCCUCGAGUGGGGGAUAACCCAGCGAAAGUUGGGCUAAUACCGCAUGAGCUCUGAGGAGGAAAGCGGGGGACCUGCGAGGGCCUCGCGCUGGAGGAGCGGCCGAUGUCCGAUUAGCUAGUUGGUGGGGUAAAGGCUUACCAAGGCGACGAUCGGUAGCUGGUCUGAGAGGAUGAUCAGCCACACUGGGACUGAGACACGGCCCAGACUCCUACGGGAGGCAGCAGUGGGGAAUUUUGGACAAUGGGGGCAGCCCUGAUCCAGCCAUGCCGCGUGAGUGAAGAAGGCCUUCGGGUUGUAAAGCUCUUUCGGACGGAACGAAAUGGGCGGGACUAAUACUCCUGUCUGAUGACGGUACCGUAAGAAGAAGCACCGGCUAACUACGUG